rnacentral:rRNA from 1 species
GAUGAACGCUGGCGGCGUGCCUAAUACAUGCAAGUCGAGCGAACAGAUAAGGAGCUUGCUCCUUUGAAGUUAGCGGCGGACGGGUGAGUAACACGUGGGUAACCUACCUAUAAGACUGGGAUAACUUCGGGAAACCGGAGCUAAUACCGGAUAACAUUUAGAACCGCAUGGUUCUAAAGUGAAAGAUGGUUUUGCUAUCACUUAUAGAUGGACCCGCGCCGUAUUAGCUAGUUGGUAAGGUAACGGCUUACCAAGGCGACGAUACGUAGCCGACCUGAGAGGGUGAUCGGCCACACUGGAACUGAGACACGGUCCAGACUCCUACGGGAGGCAG